GAUGAACGCUGGCGGCGUGCCUAAUACAUGCAAGUCGAGCGAAGCGGGGACGGGUGAGUAACAUGUGGAUAACCUCCUAUAAGACUGGGAUAACUUCGGGAAACCGUAGCUAAACCGGAAACUUAUAGAUGGAUCUGCGCUGCAUUAGCUAGUUGGUAAGGUAACGGCUUACCAAGGCAACGAUGCAUAGCCGACCUGAGAGGAUGAUCGGCCACACUGGAACUGAGACACGGCCCAGACUCCUACGGGAGGCAGCAGUGGGGAAUCUUCCGCAAUGGGCGAAAGCCUGACGGAGCAACGCCGCGUGUAUGAAGAAGGUCUUCGGAUCGUAAAGCUCUGUUAGUAGGGAAGCGGUACCUACUCAAAAAGCACCGGCUAACUACGUGCCAGCAGCCGCGGUAAUAC
rnacentral:rRNA from 1 species